rnacentral:rRNA from 1 species
AAUGGAGGAAACUCUGAUGCGGCGAUGCCGCGUGAGUGAAGAAGGCCCUUGGGUUGUAAAGCUCUUUCGUCGGGGAAGAAAAUGACUGUACCCGAAUAAGAAGGUCCGGCUAACUUCGUGCCAGCAGCCGCGGUAAUACGAAGGGACCUAGCGUAGUUCGGAAUUACUGGGCUUAAAGAGUUCGUAGGUGGUUGAAAAAGUUGGUGGUGAAAUCCCAGAGCUUAACUCUGGAACUGCCAUCAAAACUUUUCAGCUAGAGUAUGAUAGAGGAAAGCAGAAUUUCUAGUGUAGAGGUGAAAUUCGUAGAUAUUAGAAAGAAUACCGAUUGCGAAGGCAGCUUUCUGGAUCAUUACUGACACUGAGGAACGAAAGCAUGGGUAGCGAAGAGGAUU